GGUUCCGUAGUGUAGUGGUUAUCACGUUCGCUUCACACGCGAAAGGUCUCCGGUUCGAUCGCGGACGGAACCA
rnacentral:tRNA from 1 species